UACGUAGGGGGCAAGCGUUGUCCGGAAUUAUUGGGCGUAAAGCGCGCGCAGGCGGUUUCUUAAGUCUGAUGUGAAAGCCCACGGCUCAACCGUGGAGGGUCAUUGGAAACUGGGAAACUUGAGUGCAGAAGAGGAAAGUGGAAUUCCACGUGUAGCGGUGAAAUGCGUAGAGAUGUGGAGGAACACCAGUGGCGAAGGCGACUUUCUGGUCUGUAACUGACGCUGAGGCGCGAAAGCGUGGGGAGCAAACAGG
rnacentral:rRNA from 1 species